CGCUGGCGGCGUGCUUAAUACAUGCAAGUCAACUUGACUUUAGAUAGCAAUAUCGAAAGUAGGGCGGCGCACGGGUGCGUAACGCGUAGGUAAUCUGCCCUGAGGUCUGACAUAACCCGUCGAAAGGCGGGCUAACAUCAGAUGAUAUAUAAUCACGACAUCGUGGAAAUAUCAAAUCUUCGGAGCCUUGGGAUGAGCCUGCGUCUGAUUAGGUAGUUGGCGGAGUAAUAGCCCACCAAGCCUACGAUCAGUAGCUGGUCUGAGAGGAUGAUCAGCCACACUGGAACUGAGACACGGUCCAGACUCCUACGGGAGGCAGCAGUAAGGAAUAUUGCUCAAUGGGGGAAACCCUGAAGCAGCAACGCCGCGUGAAGGAUGAAAUACUUUUGUAUGUAAACUUCUGUAAGAUGGGAAAAAUAUUCUCCUCGGGAGAAUUGAUUGUACCAUCAGAGUAAGCCCCGGCUAACUACGUG
rnacentral:rRNA from 1 species